AUUUAUUAAUUGGAAUACAUUAGCUGUCCCUCAGGGCCAUCAUUCAUCCGGAACACAAAAUAUAUUUUGUUAAUAUAAACAUUAAAAGUAAGAAUGAGAUCAAAGAAACCUGAAAAAAGCAGCGACAAAAAUAGCCUUCUGUAGCCGACAAUAGCUGCGCCUUCUCCAUCUUGUGAAAACUCUUUUCGUGACUUUUCCCUCUCUUCGAAGCGUGAGUGGCGGCUGGAUUUGGUGUUUCUGUUCCCAUUGCUUAUUAGAACAAGUAGAAGUUGAAGUCCCCUUCUCUGGUAUCUGGAUCUCAAAUCAAGGAAUUAAGCAGAGAUACGAUCAUGACGGGAGGGAAUUUCAUGUGCAGAGUUGUAUCUUAUCUCAUAAAUGAGGUUCUUGUCAACAGUCUUGCUAAUAGUCCUGCAUUCCAAAGAUUUGCGGUCGGACUUCGAAGAAGAUGGAAGAUAUUUCAAGUUUAGCUGUUCGGAAGAGGCAAGAACUUGCUGAGCAGAUGAAAGACUUCUCAAAGGAUCUUGAAGUUAGUUAUCAUGACAAACCUACAAACUUUUUGGCUAAUGUUAGUUGGCUUUUCAAUUGUGCAUGCAAAUUGCUUAGCUUGCAGUCUGUCAAAAAUCAGUGAUGCAUCUGGUCGCCGAGGUGAUCAAGUGACUGAAGUAGACAAUAUGCUGGUCGUUCUUUUUCUUGUCCUACCUCUCAAUUGCAGAUGGAAAA